rnacentral:rRNA from 1 species
UACGUAGGGGGGCUAGCGUUGUCCGGAAUCAUUGGGCGUAAAGAGCGCGUAGGCGGCCAGAUAAGUCCGGUGUGAAAGUCAAAGGCUCAACCUUUGAAUGCCGCUGGAAACUGUCUGGCUAGAGUCCGGGAGGGGCGAGUGGAAUUCCUGGUGUAGCGGUGAAAUGCGCAGAUAUCAGGAGGAACACCAAUGGCGAAGGCAGCUCGCUGGAACGGUACUGACGCUGAGACGCGAAAGCGUGGGGAGCGAACAGG